rnacentral:lncRNA from 1 species
CCCUGGCUCCAACCUGGAGGACCAGCUCUUGCCAGGAACACUGGGAGGCACAGACAUUACAGUGAAGAAAAUUAAUUUUCUUCUGAGACUUUUAUGUUUUGGAUGCUCUUGUGACACCCCAUUGAGAUGGCUGCAGGCAGGCUGGGUUUUUUCCCGAAAUCUGGGCUGAGAAAUCCAUGUUCUGAAAUGCAUUUUACAAGAGAACAGAGUGAUCAGGAUAGAACCAAUAAGCACCGCUGCAUGAAAACGGGUGUUUGAUGACCGGCAAGACUCAGAGAAGCAAGAGGUCUAAUCGUGCUGAACCAGCAAAUGAAGCCUUCAAUUUGGUAUUCUCAUCCUGCACAAGCACUUACUUAUGCAAACAGGCAUUCUCUGCAUUAGUAUUACUGACGUAAAAGAACCGAAACAGAUUAUAGAUCUGGACCUGAGGCUACAUCUUUCUAAUAUUAAAAACCCACAUUCUGAAUUUAGUUUCUGCAAAACGACAUCAUCCAUCACGCUAAAAUAAUGUUGUUAAUUUGAAUUUUAUUGAGUUUAAAUUUUGUUUGUAUUUAACGUGAAAUUGUGUUUUGGUUUUAUAGUCCUAAAAGAACCAUAAGCAUGAGUUGUCAGUUUAUUCUGAG